UGGGGCUCAGAGCAGCCUGGGCUGGUGGGAGGUGUCCCUGCCCAUGCAGGGGGUUGGAUCUAGAAGAUCUUUAAGGUCCCUCCAACCCAAAGCAGUCUGGGAUUCCAUGUUGGAAAGGGAGAACUGGGAAUUCCUUUUUUUAAGCACUUUCAGGGUGUAAAGGAGGGGUUGGAAUCACCCACCCAAGCCCAGCUCCUGCCUUGGAGAAGAAAACCCUUCCCCACCCCCCUGCAGUCCCAGUUUUCCCAGGAAUUCCAGGCCUCACCAGGAGGAAUUCCCUGAGAUGGGUUUAACCCCCUGGAAGACACAACUAGUUGUGCAGGUUGGAGCAUUUCUUGGAGUUUGAUGCUUCCAUAUUCCCUUCCAAUGGAGCAGCAGCACCAGGGGAGGGACAGAAAAAGUCGGGAAGAAAUAAAUGUGUCUGUGUUUGGAGAACAA